AAGUUCCUUGUCGGGUAAGUUCCGACCUGCAUGAAUGGCGUAACGACUGGAGCACUGUCUCAACCACCGACCCGGUGAAAUUGUAGCCGUGGUGAAGAUGCCACGUACCCGCGGUUAGACGGAAAGACCCCAUGAACCUUUACUGUAGGCUGAUAUUGGGCUGAGGUACGUUUUGUGUAGGAUAGGUGGGAGGCUGUGAAGCUGUAGCGCAAGCUAUGGUGGAGCCAACGUUGAAAUACCACCCUGAAUGUGCUUUAGUUCUAACUCCGAGCCCGUGAAACCGGGCGGAGGACAUUUUCAGUUGGGCAGUUUGACUGGGGCGGUCUCCUCCAAAAGAGUAACGGAGGAGUACAAAGGUACCCUCAGCCUGGUUGGUAAUCAGGCGUUGAGCGCAAGGGUAAAAGGGUGCUUAACUGCGAGACCAAUAAGUCGAGCAGAUACGAAAGUAGGUCCUAGUGAUCCGGUGAUCCCGUAUGGAAGGGUCAUCGCUCAUCAGAUAAAAGGUACUCUGGGGAUAACAGGCUUAUCGCUACCGAGCGUCCAUAGCGGCGUAGCGGUUUGGCACCUCGAUGUCGGCUCAUCACAUCCUGGGGGUGUAGAAGCUCCCAAGGGUUUGGCUGUUCGCCAAUGAAAGUGGUACGUGAGCUGGGUUCAGACCGUCGUGAGACAGGUCGGUCCCUAUCUGCCGUGGGCGUGCGAAACUUGAGGAGAUUCUUCUUUAGUACGAGAGGAUUUAGAAGGACGUAGCUCUGGUGUCCCAGUUGUCACGCUAGUGGCACGGCUGGAUAGCUAACUACGGAACGGAUAAACGCUGAAAGCAUCUAAGCGUGAAGCCCGCUCCAAGAUUAGGUUUCGUAAGAGCAAUAGCUCGAUAGUCCCCUGGAAGACUACCAGGUUGAUAGGCCGGAUGUGUAAGCGCAGUAAUGUGUUUAGCUAACCGGUACUAACGGACGAAAGCUUGGCCAC
rnacentral:rRNA from 2 species